GACGAACGCUGGCGGCGUGCUUAACACAUGCAAGUCGAACGGAAAGGCCCUGCUUUUGUGGGGUGCUCGAGUGGCGAACGGGUGAGUAACACGUGAGUAACCUGCCCUUGACUUUGGGAUAACUUCAGGAAACUGGGGCUAAUACCGCAUAGGAGCUCCUGCUGCAUGGUGGGGGUUGGAAAGUUUCGGCGGUUGGGGCUGGACUCGCGGCUUAUCAGCUUGUUGGUGGGGUAGUGGCUUACCAAGGCUUUGACGGGUAGCCGGCCUGAGAGGGUGACCGGCCACAUUGGGACUGAGAUACGGCCCAGACGCCUACGGGAGGCAGCGGUGGGGAAUCUUACACAAUGGGCGGAAGCCUGAUGCAGCAACGCCGCGUGCGGGAUGACGGCCUUCGGGUUGUAAACCGCUUUCGCCUGUGACGAAGCGUGAGUGACGGUAAUGGGUAAAGAAGCACCGGCUAACUACGUG
rnacentral:rRNA from 1 species